UCGCACGAGAAGGGGUAGCAAUACCCCCGGUACAGUGGCGAACGGGUGAGUAACACGUGGGUAACUUACCUCAGGGUUCGGAAUAACCUGCCGAAAGGCGGAUUAAUACCGGAUAACGUCGCGAAAUCACAUGGUUUUGCGACCAAAGCCGACCUCUUCCUGAAAGUUGGCGCCUGGAGAGAGACCCGCGCCCCAUUAGCUAGUUGGUGAGGUAACGGCUCACCAAGGCUUCUGUGGGUAGCCGGCCUGAGAGGGCGAUCGGCCACAGUGGAACUGAGACACGGUCCACACUCCUACGGGAGGCAGCAGUGAGGAAUCUUGCGCAAUGGGCGAAAGCCUGACGCAGCGACGCCGCGUGGACGAUGAAGGCCUUCGGGUCGUAAAGUCCUGUCGGGCGGGAAGAAAACUCCGGGGUUAAUACCCCCGGAGCUUGACUGUACCACCAAAGGAAGCCCCGGCUAACUCCGUGCCAGCAGCCGCGGUAAUACGGAGGGGGCCAGCGUUGCUCGGAAUUAUUGGGCGUAAAGGGCGUGUAGGCGGCCUUGUAAGUCUGAUGUGAAAGCCCACGGCUCAACCGUGGAAGUGCAUCUUAUACUGCUUGGCUAGAGUCUGGGAGAGGGAAGCGGAAAUCCCGGUGUAGCGGUGAAAUGCGUAGACAUCGGGAGGAACACCAGUGGCGAAGGCGGCUUCCUGGACCAGUACUGACGCUGAGGCGCGAAAGCUAGGGGAGCAAACAGGAUUAGAUACCCU
rnacentral:rRNA from 1 species